rnacentral:lncRNA from 1 species
AUUCUUAACACAUGUUUGUACCUAUAAACUUAGGAUUAAACUUGUCCUUACUUGUCAUCAAACUAGAAGCCUAAAUGUCAAGUAAAAUUGAGUUAUCUCAAAUACGCCAGCCAUUACAGAAUACGGUUAUUAGUCUGGGUCAAGGCUGUGUCAUGUCUUCUAAAAUCAUGCCGCUAGAGGGAGUAAAACCCAGCAGUCUGCAAACCAUCCUGGGCCAAAAGAGCAAGGUUGUCUGUUUCACCUUUCUCUUUAAACAAAUGAUCCUCAGCUUGGUUGCCCCAGAAAAACACCAGCAUCUGCAUGGAGUUAGAUGGCUUAUCCAUCAAGAUUUCAAUCUCAAAGGGCAAUACUGUGUGGCAAAAGAAGAGUUGGCUCCUGGAGGACCUCUGGAGCCCCAGGCAUGGAGCAGUGUUGGCAUCAGAAAAGAGAGCCUGUCAGCAAAGGAGGCGCUGGAGGAUUUCUGGAAGAAGGGGCCUCAUUCGAGACCACCAAGGGACUGCUGACUGUUCUUGUUCAUGACGCCUCUCUUCAAGGAAAUUGACCCUCCCAGAGUGCCUGAUGGAGGAAAAGGUUCUUAACCAUUUCCUCUGGAAAUCACCACUGAAUGGAUGCCAGACAAUUCUAGAAUUUCCACUCUCUGGCUUUUCGGGCCUCUUGGAUGGGUGAGCAGUGAUGUGCAGAUCUGAUGGGAAAAAUGGCAGGGACCACAGCUACUCUCCUAAACCCUCAUUCGUUGCCCACCAGACAAUUCUCCUGUUUCCGAUCCUGUAAGGUCACAAGGAUUUCUCAUUUUAGGUAGGCCAGAAAAGAAGCCACUGAUGGAAUGCUGCAAGCGGGGGUUUACCAUGCAGUAUGAUUUCUGGGACCCCUUCUUCCCUGUUGAAAAUAUUUCACAGCCCCCCAGGACUUCCCCCAAAGGACAAGGGCAGAAACCAAAGAAAAUGUGCUGUUCCAAUUUUGUCCAGGCUGCCUGUGGAAUGAGGAACCCAUGAGAAAGUUAUUGAGACGUCAGUUUUCUAUUCCUCUCCUUAUCUGGCCUCAUUACCUCCCCAACCCCAGAGAGAAAAAAUAAAUAAUUCGCAAACAAAGGACGAGGGUGUGGUGGAUUGAGAGCAGGUUUGCUUGGCGACAGGAGGGCUCUGUAGAGGGGUCUCUUGGGAGGUGGGCAGGAGGGAGUGGCUGCUCCAGAGCCCACAGCUCCAUCCAGAAAGGUGGAAGUAACACAGGCACCAUGAAGGCUUCCGGAGACAGGGGAUGAGCCCUCCCACCGCAAGGACCACAGAAGCCAGGGCUGGACUCCUGGCCGGGGAAACUCCAGUCCCAUGGACUCUAUCCCACUCCUUUGUCUCUUUCUCCCUCCUGCGCCUGCCCCGCCUGCCCCUUGCUC